CAAUGGUAACGGAAUCGCUAACCGC
rnacentral:siRNA from 1 species